rnacentral:rRNA from 1 species
CAUGCAAGUCGAGGGGCAGCAUGGGACUUCGGUCCUGAUGGCGACCGGCGAACGGGUGAGUAACGCGUACACAACCUACCUUUAAGUGGGGGAUAGCCUUGGGAAACUAAGAUUAAUACCCCAUAGUAUUGGUUUAUUAAUGAUUGACCAAUUAAAGUUCCGACGCUUAAAGAUGGGUGUGCGUCCUAUUAGGUAGUUGGUGAGGUAACGGCUCACCAAGCCGACGAUAGGUAGGGGGCGUGAGAGCGUGACCCCCCACACGGGUACUGAGACACGGACCCGACUCCUACGGGAGGCAGCAGUAAGGAAUAUUGGACAAUGGGCGCAAGCCUGAUCCAGCCAUCCCGCGUGCAGGAUGAAUGCCCUCUGGGUUGUAAACUGCUUUUGUAAGGGAAGAAACCCCUGGAUUUAUCCGGGGCUGACGGUACCUUAAGAAUAAGCACCGGCUAACUCCGUGCCAGCAGCCGCGGUAAUACGGAGGGUGCAAGCGUUAUCCGGAAUCACUGGGUUUAAAGGGUGCGUAGGCGGCGUUGUAAGUCAGAGGUGAAAGCCCCCAGCUAAACUGGGGGAACUGCCUUUGAUACUGCAGUGCUUGAAUCA